GACAGGGCCUUGCUCUGUUGCCCAGGCUGGAGUGCAGUAGCAUGAUAGUUACAGGAAAGGGGUCCCAAUCUAGACCCCAAGAGAGGGUUCUUGGAUCUUGUGCAAGAAAGAAUUCAGGGUGAUGCCACAGUGUGAAGUGAAAGCAAGUUUAUUAAGAAAGUAAAGGAGGAGGGGCACCGUGGCUCACUCCUGUAAUCGCAGCACUUUGGGAGGCCGAGACAGGUGGAUCACGAGGUCAGGAGAUCAAGACCAUCCUGGUUAACACGGUGAAACCUCAUCUCUACUAAAAAUACAAAAAAAUUAGCCAAGUGUGGUGGCCGGUGCCUGUAGUCCCACCUACUCUGGAGGCUGAGGCAGGAGAAUGGGAUGAACCCGGGAGGCGAAGCUUGCAGUAAGCCGAGAUCGCGCCACUGCACUCCAGCCUGGGUGACAGAGGGAGACUCCAUCUCAAAAAAAAAGAGAGAAAGUAAAGGAAUAAAAGAAUGGCUACCCCAUAGACGGAGCAGCCGUGAGGGCUGCUGGUUGCCCAUUUUUAUGGUUAUUUCUUGAUGAUAUGCUAAACAAGGAGUGGAUUUUUCAUGCCUCCUCUUUUUAGACCAUAUAGGGUAACUUCUUGAUGUUGCCGUGGCAUUUGUAAACUGUCAUGGUGCUGGUAGGAGUGUAGCAGGGAGGAUGAUGGGAGGUCAGUCUUGUCUCUAUUUUGGUUUUGGUGGGUUUUGGCCAGCUCCUUCACUGCAACCUGUUUUAUCAGCAAGGUCUUUAUGACUGGUAUUUUGUGCUGACCUUCUAUGUCAUCCUGUGACUUAGAAUGCCUUAACCAUCAGGGAAUGCAGCCCAGUAGUUUCAGCCUCAUUUUUCCUGGCUCCUAUUUAAGAUGGAGUUGCUCUGGUUCACACACCUCUGACAUGAUCAUUGCCCACUGCGGCUUCCACCUCCCGGGUUCAAGAGAUCCUCCUGCCUCACCCUCCCAAGGUGCUGGGACUACAGGUGUGUGCCACCACGCUCAGCUAAUUUUUGUAUUUUUUGUAGAGAUGGUGUUUUUCCAUGUUGCCCAGGCUGGUCUCAAACUCCUGGGCUCAAGCAAUCCUUCUGUCUCAGCCUCCCAAAGUACUGGGAUUACAGGCAUGUCCCACCAUGCCCAGACUAAUAUUUACUUUUAAUCAGACUAAGAUAGGGUUACUACUUGAGUUGCUAUGGCUCCAGCUGAAAGAAAGCCCGUGCAGUCAUAUCACGCGUAAACAUUUGCUUUAUGCUAAAAAUAUGGUGGACCUGGCAUUACAGCUAUUACAAAUCUCCUAAGAUGUCUCGGGUAGUGUAUUAGUUACUUUUCAUACUGCUAUGAAGAAAUACUGGAAACUGGGUAAUUUAUAAAGAAAAAGAGGUUUAAUGUACUCACAGUUCCACAAGGCUGGAGAGGCCUCAGAAUCAUGGUGGAAGGCAAGGAGCAAAAAGGUAUGUCUUCCAUGGCAGCAGGCAAGAGAGCACGUGCAGGGAAACUGCCCUUUAUAAAACCAUCAGAUUUAGUGAGAUGUAUUCACUAUCACGAGAACAGUAUGGGAAAAACCUGCCCCCAUGAUUCGAUUACCUCCUACCGGGUCCCUCCCACGACACAUGGGGAUUAUGGGAACUACAAUUCAAGAUGAAAUUUGGGUGGGGACGCAGCCAAACCAUAUCGGGUAGCAACAACCUAGGGUCAGUUUUGCAGGUGGUAAAGCCAUUUACCAAGAUAGUUGUAGGUAAAGAAGGGCAGAUUUAUUAGAGAAAUUGUGAAAAUAUGUUGCAGUGGGCAGCUCAGCAGAGAAGGGGCUACCUGCAAAGAGGCAAGGGCUGGAGGAAAGUUUUAUAGGGUCCUGCUGAAGGGUGCUACGUGUGGAAUGAGGUCAUUGUGCCCGCAGGUUGUUUGUGAUUAGCUGUUUCUAACAAUUGUUCAUACAAUCAUUGUUCAUUAUUGUUCUCAACUUGGGGCUCUCCCCAACCUGGGGACCCUUCCUUAUUGUUGCUUACUUAUCAGGUCUCCACAUAAAGGUGUGGAAACUUCAUUCAUUCAUAUCUUCAACACAAAUUGUAGGUAGCCUGUUUUUUAAAACAUUUAUUCAACAAAUAUUUAGUCCAAGCCACUAUUACUUAUUACCUUCUCUACUAUUGUAUGGACUUUUAACUAUCUCUGACACUAUUCACUAUUCUUCCACAUUCUCUAUUAUUUAUACCUAUGGUAAAAUUUGCCAGUUUGACCAUACAACUAAUACUCACAGGGAAUAUAUAGAGUCUAGAAGAAAAUAUACAGGUCCUUAAAGGCUGCCCUGCCAACAAAACCAUAACGCAGGAACAAACAUCACAACUAUGCCAAAUAAUCAAUCCUACAAUGUCCAAAAUUUUACUUUAAAACUGGAAUUUCCAGACUUCCUUUCUGCAUUAACCAGUUUAACUAGACAGUAACGAAAUAUUCCUACUUUAUGCUGUGAUAGUUUGUUUAUUUAUUUAUUUAUUUAUUUAUUUGAGACAGAGUUUCGCUCUUGUUGCCCAGGCUGGAGUGCAGUGGCACGAUCUCAGCUCACCACAACCUCCGCCUCCCAGGUUCAAGCGAUUCUCCUGCCUCAGCCUCCCGAGUAGCUGGGAUUACAGGCAUGUACCACCACGCCCGGGUAAUUUUGUAUUUUUAGUAGAGACGGGGGGUUUCUCCAUGUUGGUCAGGCUGGUCUAGAACUCCAGACCUCAGGUGAUACCCCUGCCUCAGCCUCCCAAUGUGCUGGGAUUACAGCUGUGAAGCCACCGCGCCCGGCUGCUGUGAUAGUUGAGAUGUAAACCAAAAAUAAAAUUCUAAGCCACCCAAUCCGACUGAAUGGACCCUUCCUGUUGAGCAAGGACAUUCCAAAGUAAACUGAAAAGACCAGCUUAGGCCAUGAUGGGAAGGGGAGGUGUCAACAUGCCUCAUUCUACCUUCCUCCCUCUGGAAUCCAGACACAACUGACCAGCAUUAACAUUAAAACAGAGAUCUUAAGCUGGGCACAGUGGCUCAUGCCUGUAAUCCCAGCACUUUGGGAGGCCAAGGUGGGAUCACCUGAGGUCAGAAGUUCAAGACCAGCCUGGCCAGUAUGGUGAAGCCAUGUCUCUACUAAAAAUACAAAAUUAGCCGGACAUUGUGGUGCACGUCUGUCAUCCCAGCAAGGCAGGCGAAUCACUUGAACCCAGGAAGCAGAGGUUGCAGUGAGCCAGGAUCAUGCCAUUGCACUCCAGCCUGGUCAACGGAGCGAGACUCCGC
rnacentral:lncRNA from 1 species